AUACGUAGGGGGCGAGCGUUGUCCGGAAUGAUUGGGCGUAAAGGGCGCGUAGGCGGCCGCUUAAGUCUGGAGUGAAAGUCCUGUUUUCAAGAUGGGAAUUGCUUUGGAUACUGGGGGGCUUGAGUGCAGGAGAGGUUAUCGGAAUUCCCGGUGUAGCGGUGAAAUGCGUAGAGAUCGGGAGGAACACCAGUGGCGAAGGCGGGUAACUGGACUGCAACUGACGCUGAGGCGCGAAAGUGUGGGGAGCAAACAGGAUUAGAUACCCUGGUAGUCCACACUGUAAACGAUGAAUGCUAGGUGUAGGGGGUAUCGACCCCUUCUGUGCCGCAGUCAACACAAUAAGCAUUCCGCCUGGGGAGUACGGCCGCAAGGUUGAAACUCAAAGGAAUUGGCGGGG
rnacentral:rRNA from 1 species